UUUACUUGGACGGUUACACAGGUGCUGCAUUGCUGUCGUCAGCUCGUUGUCGUGAGAUGUUGGGUUAAGUCCUUUAACGAGCGCAACCCUUACCGUUAGUUGCUAUCCAUUCGUGGAGCACUCUAGCGGGACUGCCUGGGGAACCAGGAGGAAGGUGGGGAUGACGUCAAGUCCUCAUGGCCCUUAUGCCUAGGGCAACACACGUGUUACAAUGGCGAGUACAAAGAGAUGCGAAGUCGCGAGGCCAAGCCAAUCUCAUAAAGCUCGUCUCAGUUCGGAUUGAAGUCUGCAACUCGACUUCAUGAAGCUGAAAUCGCUAGUAAUCGCAUAUCAGAACGAUGCGGUGAAUACGUUCUCGGACCUUGUACACACCGCCCGUCACACCACGAGAAUUGUCUAUACCCGAAAUCACCUUAGCUAACCUUUUAGGAGGCGGGUGCUGACGGUAUGGAGAGUGAUUGGGGUG
rnacentral:rRNA from 1 species